rnacentral:rRNA from 1 species
CCCUUAGAUAUUCUGGGCCGCACGCGCGCUACACUGACGAUGGCAACGAGUUUUUCCUUCGCCGAAAGGUGUGGGUAAUCUUUUGAAACAUCGUCGUGCUGGGGAUAGAUCAUUGCAAUUUUUGAUCUUGAACGAGGAAUUCCUAGUAAGCGCGAGUCAUCAGCUCGCGUUGAUUACGUCCCUGCCCUUUGUACACACCGCCCGUCGCUACUACCGAUUGAAUGGUUUAGUGAGGACUCCUGAUUGGCGCCGCCGCCCCGGCAACGGAGCAGCGGACUGCCGAAAAGUUGUUCAAACUUGAUCAUUUAGAGGAAGUAAAAGUCGUAACA